CCUACGGUGGCUGCAGUGGGGAAUAUUGGACAAUGGGCGAAAGCCUGAUCCAGCCAUGCCGCGUGUGUGAAGAAGGCCUUCGGGUUGUAAAGCACUUUCAGUGGGGAAGAAAGCCUUGGGGCUAAUACCCUCGAGGAAGGACAUCACCCACAGAAGAAGCACCGGCUAACUCCGUGCCAGCAGCCGCGGUAAUACGGAGGGUGCGAGCGUUAAUCGGAAUUACUGGGCGUAAAGCGCGCGUAGGCGGUCUGAUAAGCCGGUUGUGAAAGCCCCGGGCUCAACCUGGGAACGGCAUCCGGAACUGUCAGGCUAGAGUGCAGGAGAGGAAGGUAGAAUUCCCGGUGUAGCGGUGAAAUGCGUAGAGAUCGGGAGGAAUACCAGUGGCGAAGGCGGCCUUCUGGACUGACACUGACGCUGAGGUGCGAAAGCGUGGGUAGCAAACAGGAUUAGAUACCCGUGUAGUC
rnacentral:rRNA from 1 species